UACGUAGGGUCCGAGCGUUGUCCGGAAUUACUGGGCGUAAAGGGCUCGUAGGCGGCCAACUAAGUCAUACGUGAAAUCCCUCGGCUUAACCGGGGAACUGCGUCUGAUACUGGAUGGCUUGAGAUUGGGAGAGGGAUGCGGAAUUCCAGGUGUAGCGGUGAAAUGCGUAGAUAUCUGGAGGAACACCGGUGGCGAAGGCGGCAUCCUGGACCAACACUGACGCUGAGGAGCGAAAAGCCAGGGGAGCAAACGGG
rnacentral:rRNA from 1 species